CAGUAGCCGCGGUAAUACGGAGGGUGCAAGCGUUAAUCGGAAUUACUGGGCGUAAAGCGCACGCAGGCGGUCUGUCAAGUCAGAUGUGAAAUCCCCGGGCUUAACCUGGGAACUGCAUUGGAAACUGGCAGGCUAGAGUCUUGUAGAGGGGGGUAGAAUUCCAGGUGUAGCGGUGAAAUGCGUAGAGAUCUGGAGGAAUACCGGUGGCGAAGGCGGCCCCCUGGACAAAGACUGACGCUGAGGCACGAAAGCGUGGGGAGCAAACAGGAUUAGAUACCCCAGUAGUCCCUGUCUCUUAUAC
rnacentral:rRNA from 1 species